GCGGGUGUAGCGUAGUGGUUAACGCGUCUGGUUGUGGCCCAGAAGACCGUGGGUUCGACCCCCACCACUCGCC
rnacentral:tRNA from 1 species